CACAUCCCCCUCUCACGAAACCCCCCCUCCCGACGUAUCCAUGGAUUCCUCAGCUCCUCCCGCUGCCCGGGCGCCAACGGGGGAGCCAGGGCACCCACGGGUGGCACCGGGGGCACCCACGGGUGACGCCGGGGCCUCACCCGACAGCUUGCUCUUGGCCUCGUGGUCGAUGGGUUGGCUGGAGAGCGAGUUCACCCGGAUCUCGGCCACGGGCACCGCCACGUCCUUCACCACGUUGUGCAGCCCCAGCACCAGGCCCCCCUCGCUCGGGUGCUGCAUCACCUGCGGGAUGGGGUGGCACCCAUGGGUGCCCCGGUAGCCUGACCUGAGCUCUCCCGGCACCCAGAAUGCUCAUUGCGCCUUGAGAGCCCUGAUCGGUGGGGUUCUGGCACCCACCAACCCGAUGCGUGGUGUCCUGGAACCCACCACCCCUUGAGCACCCUAAUCCGUGGUGCCCCGGCACCCACCACCCCCUGGGCACCCUGAUCCAUGGUAUCCUGGCACCCACCACCCCGAUGUGUGGUGUCCUGGAACCCAUCACCCUGAGCACCCUGAUCCGUGGUGCUCUGGCACCCAUCAUCCUGAGCACCCCGAUCUGUGGUGUCCUGGCACCCAUCACCCUGAGCACCCUGAUCCAUGGUGCCCCAGCACCCACCACCCCAUGGGCACCCUGAUCCGUGGUGUCCCGGCACCCACCACCCCUUGAGCACCCUGAUCCGUGGUGCCCCAGCACCCAUCACCCCAUGGGCACCCUGAUCCAUGGCGUCCUGGCACCCACCACCCCGUGAGCACCCUGAUCCAUGGUGUCCUGGCACCCAUCACCCCAUGGGCACCCUGAUCCAUGGUGUCCUGGCACCUACCACCCUGAUCCGUGGUGCCCCAGCACCCACCACCCCAAGCACCCCGAUCCGUGGUGUCCUGGCACCCACCACCCCGAUGCGUGGUGUCCUGGAACCCAUCACCCUGAGCACCCUGAUCUGUGGUGCCCCAGCACCCACCACCCCAUGGGCACCCUGAUCCGUGGUGCCCUGGCACCCAUCACCCUGAGCACCCUGAUCCGUGGUGCCCCAGCACCCACCACCCCCCAAGCACCCCAAUCCAUGAGCACCCUGAUCUGUGGUGUCCUGGCACCCACCACCCCAGGCACCCCAAUCCAUGAGCACCCUGAUCCAUGGUGUCCUGGCACCCACCACCCCAGGCACCCCAAACCUUGGUGCCCUAGCACCCAGCACCCCACCACCCCAUGGGCACCCUGAUCCGUGGUGCUCUGGCACCUACCACCACCCCAAGCACCCCCAUCUGUGGUGCCCCAGCACCCAGCACCCCCUGGGCACCCUGAUCCGUGGUGUCCUGGCACCCACCACCCUGAUCCGUGGUGCCCUGGCACCCACCACCCCUUGAGCACCCCAAUCCGUGGUGCCCCAGCACCCACCACCCCAAGCACCCCGAUCCGUGGUGUCCUGGCACCCACCACCCUGAGCACCCCGAACCAUGGUGCCCCAGCACCCCACCACCCCCUGGGCACUCUGAUCCGUGGUAUCCUGGCACCCACCACCCCCUGGGCACCCUGAUCCGUGGUGUCCUGGCACCCACCACCCCGAUCUGUGGUGCCCUGGCACCCACCACCCCUUCAGCACCUCAAUCUGUGGUGCCCCAGCACCCCACCACCCCAUGGGCAGCCUGAUCCAUGGUGCUCUGGCACCUACCACCACUUGAGCACCCUGAUCUGUGGCGUCCUGGCACCCAGCACCCCAAACACCCCAAUCCGUUGUGCCCCAGCACCCCGAGCACCCCGAUCCGUGGUGCCCCAGCACCCCACCACCCCUUGAGCACCUCCAUCUACGGUGCUCCAGCACCCUCCAAACACCCCAAACCUUGGUACC
rnacentral:lncRNA from 1 species